rnacentral:rRNA from 1 species
GACGAACGCUGGCGGCGUGCUUAACACAUGCAAGUCGAACGGAAAGGCCCUGCUUUUGUGGGGUGCUCGAGUGGCGAACGGGUGAGUAACACGUGAGUAACCUGCCCUUGACUUUGGGAUAACUUCAGGAAACUGGGGCUAAUACCGGAUAGGAGCUCCUGCUGCAUGGUGGGGGUUGGAAAGUUUCGGCGGUUGGGGAUGGACUCGCGGCUUAUCAGCUUGUUGGUGGGGUAGUGGCUUACCAAGGCUUUGACGGGUAGCCGGCCUGAGAGGGUGACCGGCCACAUUGGGACUGAGAUACGGCCCAGACUCCUACGGGAGGCAGCAGUGGGGAAUAUUGCACAAUGGGCGGAAGCCUGCUGCAGCAACGCCGCGUGCGGGAUGACGGCCUUCGGGUUGUAAACCGCUUUCGCCUGUGACGAAGCGUGAGUGACGGUAAUGGGGAAAGAAGCACCGGCGAACUACGU